UCGAGAAUCUUCGGCAAUGGGCGAAAGCCUGACCCAGCAACGCCGCGUGAAGGAUGAAGUAUUUCGGUAUGUAAACUUCGAAAGAAUAGGAAGAAUAAAUGACGGUACUAUUUAUAAGGUCCGGCUAACUACGUGCCAGCAGCCGCGGUAAUACGUAGGGACCAAGCGUUGUUCGGAUUUACUGGGCGUAAAGGGCGCGUAGGCGGCAAUUCAAGUCAUCUGUGAAAUCUCCGGGCUUAACUCGGAACGGUCAGAUGAUACUGCUUUGCUAGAGUGCAGAAGGGGCAAUCGGAAUUCUUGGUGUAGCGGUGAAAUGCGUAGAUAUCAAGAGGAACACCUGAGGUGAAGACGGGUUGCUGGGCUGACACUGACGCUGAGGCGCGAAAGCCAGGGGAGCAAACGGGAUUAGAUACCCCAGUAGUCCCUGAGCGGGCUGGCAAGGCGCAU
rnacentral:rRNA from 1 species